CGGAGGGUGCAAACGUUGUCCGGAAUCACUGGGCGUAAAGCGCAUGUAGGUGGUUUGGUAAGUGAGCGAUUAAAGCCCGAUGCUUAACAUCGGAUCGGUUGCUUAUACUACUAGACUUGAGAAUGACAGGGGUAAGCGGAACUUUAGGUGUAGGAGUGAAAUCCGUAGAUAUCUAAAGGAACACCAAUGGCGAAGGCAGCUUACUGGGUCUUUUCUGACACUGAAAUGCGAAAGCGUGGGGAGCAAACGGGAUUAGAUACCCCGGUAGUCCACGCUGUAAACGAUGCUGACUAGGUCUUGGGGAGUAUCGACCCUCCUUUGGACCGAAGCUAACGCGUUAAGUCAGCCGCCUGGGGAGUACGAGCGCAAGCUUA
rnacentral:rRNA from 1 species